rnacentral:misc_RNA from 1 species
GGUGAUUUGCUACACAGCAGCAAAAGUGGCCUUCUAGACUGGCCUAUGAGAUAUAAGAUAGCCAUGGAUGCAGCUGAGGGACUCUCCUACUUGCAUCAUGACUGUGCUCCACCUAUCGUUCACAGAGAUGUUAAGUCAAAUAACAUCUUGCUGGAUGGUGAGUUCGGAGCUCGUGUUGCUGACUUCGGUGUUGCAAAGGCGGUCGAAGCUAAUGCUAAGGCAAUCAAGUCCAUGUCUGUUAUUGCAGGGUCUUGUGGUUACAUU